rnacentral:rRNA from 1 species
UACGAAGGGGGCUAGCGUUGCUCGGAAUCACUGGGCGUAAAGGGCGCGUAGGCGGGUCUUUAAGUCGGGGGUGAAAUCCUGGAGCUCAACUCCAGAACUGCCUUCGAUACUGUAGAGCUUGAGUUCGGGAGAGGUGAGUGGAACUGCGAGUGUAGAGGUGAAAUUCGUAGAUAUUCGCAAGAACACCAGUGGCGAAGGCGGCUCACUGGCCCGAUACUGACGCUGAGGUGCGAAAGCGUGGGGAGCAAACAGG